GGAAGUUGGAAGUUGCUCCUGCUCCCACUGUUUUUUUGCCUGCCCACAAUCAUACCGUUUCUCUGUUUAUAUGUGGAUAUGUAUACACUAGGUUGCAUGCCUGACUGAAUAAUACAAUGACAGAGUUGGAAGGGAUCUUGGAGGUCUUCUACUCCAACCUCCAGCUCAAGCAAAAGACCCUAUACCAUUCCAGACAAGUAGCUGUCCAGUUCCUUCUUAAAAGCCUCCAGUAAUGGAGCACCCACAACUUCUGAAGAAUUUUCCCAGAUAUUGAUGCCAGGCUGAUUGAUCUGUACUUUCCUGAAUCCAUUUUGUUUCCUAUUUUGAAGAUGGGAACCACAUCAACUCUUUUGCAGUCCUCUGGCAGUUCCCCGGUGCUCCAGGGUCUUUGAAAGAUAUGGUUCAAUGGUUCUGAGAUCACAUCUGACAGUUCCUUCAGAACUCCGGACUAUAAUUCAUCAGGUCCCAGUGAUUUGAACUCAUCUAGAGUGGACAGGUUUUCCCUUACUAUUUUCAUGCUUAUUUUAAUUUUUAUUCCUAGUCUGUCUUUUACGGUUAUGUUUUGGUAGGUUGGGCUGCAUUAACUUGUUGUGUGAAGACAAAUGCAAAGAGUGAAUUAAGCAGCUCUGUUUUCUCUCUACUGCCUGUUACUUCCUUGCCAUCUUCUCUCAUUAGUGGACUGAUUGUUUCCUUGACUUUUCUGUGUUUUUUAUAUGUUGAAAGAAAAUUUUUAAAAUUAUUUUUGACAUUGCAA